GACGAACGCUGGCGGCGUGCUUAACACAUGCAAGUCGAACGGAAAGGCCCUGCUUUUGUGGGGUGCUCGAGUGGCGAACGGGUGAGUAACACGUGAGUAACCUGCCCUUGACUUUGGGAUAACGUCAGGAAACUGGGGCUAAUACCGGAUAGGAGCUCCUGCUGCAUGGUGGGGGUUGGAAAGUUUCGGCGGUUGGGGAUGGACUCGCGGCUUAUCAGCUUGUUGGUGGGGUAGUGGCUUACCAAGGCUUUGACGGGUAGCCGGCCUGAGAGGGUGACCGGCCACAUUGGGACUGAGAUACGGCCCAGACUCCUACGGGAGGCAGCAGUGGGGAAUAUUGCACAAUGGGCGGAAGCCUGAUGCAGCAACGCCGCGUGCAGGAUGACGGCCUUCGGGUUGUAAACCGCUUUCGCCUGUGACGAAGCAUGAGUGACGGUAAUGGGUAAAGAAGCACCGGCUAACUACGUG
rnacentral:rRNA from 1 species